ACGGGUGAGUAACACGUGGGAACGUGCCCUUCGGUUCGGAAUAACUCAGGGAAACUUGAGCUAAUACCGGAUACGCCCUUAUGGGGAAAGGUUUACUGCCGAAGGAUCGGCCCGCGUCUGAUUAGCUUGUUGGUGGGGUAACGGCCUACCAAGGCGACGAUCAGUAGCUGGUCUGAGAGGAUGAUCAGCCACACUGGGACUGAGACACGGCCCAGACUCCUACGGGAGGCAGCAGUGGGGAAUAUUGGACAAUGGGCGCAAGCCUGAUCCAGCCAUGCCGCGUGAGUGAUGAAGGCCUUAGGGUUGUAAAGCUCUUUUGUCCGGGACGAUAAUGACGGUACCGGAAGAAUAAGCCCCGGCUAACUUCGUGCCAGCAGCCGCGGUAAUACGAAGGGGGCUAGCGUUGCUCGGAAUCACUGGGCGUAAAGGGCGCGUAGGCGGCCGAUUAGGUCGGGGGUGAAAGCCUGUGGCUCAACCACAGAAUUGCCUUCGAUACUGGUUGGCUUGAGACCGGAAGAGGACAGCGGAACUGCGAGUGUAGAGGUGAAAUUCGUAGA
rnacentral:rRNA from 1 species